UACAGAGGUCCCAAGCGUUGUUCGGAUUCACUGGGCGUAAAGGGUGCGUAGGUGGCUACUUUAAUUUUGAUGUGAAAGCUCCGGGCUCAACCCGGAAAUGGCAUUGAAGACUAUUGAGCUAGAGGUUUGGAGGGGGGACUGGAAUGCUUGGUGUAGCAGUGAAAUGCGUAGAUAUCAAGCGGAACACCGGUGGCGAAGGCGAGUCCCUGGACAACACCUGACACUGAGGCACGAAAGCUAGGGGAGCAAACAGG
rnacentral:rRNA from 1 species